GUGCUCACUUCGGCAGCUCAUACACUAAAAUUGGAAUGAUACAGAGAAGAUUAGUAUGGCCCCUGUGCAAGGAUGACACCCAAAUUUGGGAAGCAAAUUUUUUU
rnacentral:snRNA from 1 species